rnacentral:rRNA from 1 species
AUUGAACGCUAGCGGGAUGCUUUACACCUGCAAGUCGAACGAGUGGCGGACGGGUGAGUAAUGUCUGGGAAACUGCCUGAUGGAGGGGGAUAACUACUGGAAACGGUAGCUAAUACCGCAUACCAUCGGAUGUGCCCAGAUGGGAUUAGCUAGUAGGUGAGGUAAUGGCUCACCUAGGCGACGCUCCCUAGCUGGUCUGAGAGGAUGAUCAGCCACACUGGGACUGAGACACGGCCCAGACUCCGACGGGAGGCAGCAGUGGGGAAUAGUGCACAAUGGGCGCAAGCCUGAUGCAGCCAUGCCGCGUGUAUGAAGAAGGCCCUAGGGUUGUAAAGUACUUUCAGUCGGGAGGCGUUACCGACAGAAGAAGCACCGGCUAACUCCGUGCCAGCAGCCGCGGUAAUAC